AGUGAACGCUGGCGGUAGGCCUAACACAUGCAAGUCGAACGGCAGCACAGUAAGAGCUUGCUCUUACGGGUUGCGAGUGGCGGACGGGUGAGGAAUACAUCGGAAUCUACUUUUUCGUUGGGGAUAACGUAGGGAAACUUACGCUAAUACCGCAUACGACCUACGGGUGAAAGCAGGGGAUCUUCGGACCUUGCGCGUUUGAAUGAGCCGAUGUCGGAUUAGCUAGUUGGCGGGGUAAAGGCCCACCAAGGCGACGAUCCGUAGCUGGUCUGAGAGGAUGAUCAGCCACACUGGAACUGAGACACGGUCCAGACUCCUACGGGAGGCAGCAGUGGGGAAUAUUGGACAAUGGGCGCAAGCCUGAUCCAGCAAUACCGCGUGGGUGAAGAAGGCCUUCGGGUUGUAAAGCCCUUUUGUUGGGAAAGAAAAGCAGCAGGUUAAUACCCCGCUGUUCUGACGGUACCCAAAGAAUAAGCACCGGCUAACUUCGUG
rnacentral:rRNA from 1 species